rnacentral:piRNA from 1 species
UAUAUAUAUACAUACCCCACCCUGCUUUCU